rnacentral:rRNA from 1 species
UACGGGGGGGCAAGCGUUGUUCGGAAUUCCUGGGCGUAAAGGGCUCGUAGGCGGCCAACUAAGUCGGACGUGAAAUCCCUCGGCUUAACCGGGGAACUGCGUCCGAUACUGGAUGGCUUGAGUUCGGGAGAGGGAUGCGGAAUUCCAGGUGUAGCGGUGAAAUGCGUAGAUAUCUGGAGGAACACCGGUGGCGAAGGCGGCAUCCUGGACCGACACUGACGCUGAGGAGCGAAAGCCAGGGGAGCAAACGGG